UCAAGGAAGAAGAUUUGACGGUACCUGAUGAAUAAGCCACGGGUAAUUCCGUGCCAGCAGCCGCGGUAAUACGGGAGUGGCAAGCGUUAUCCGGAAUUAUUGGGGGUAAAGCGUCCGCAGGCGGCCUUGUAAGUCUGUCGUCAAAGCGUGGAGCUUAACUCCAUUUAAGCGAUGGAAACCGCAAGGCUAGAGUGUGGUAGGGGCAGAGGGAAUUCCCGGUGUAGCGGUGAAAAGCGUAGAUAUCGG
rnacentral:rRNA from 1 species